GCUCUGGUCCGAGCCUCAAGUUUGCUGAAAACAUGGCAAAUACUGACUUUGGCUAAGUCGGGCCAGGUCCUACCCUAGGGAACUUAAUGAACUGGGGAUAACCGUAUAAAGUAUGCGCUUUCCCAUUUCACAGAUGGGGAAAAGAAACUUGCCCAAAGCCACGUGGCUAGCAAGUGGGGCAACCAAGAUCCGACCUCGGGCAGCCGGCACCUUUAGAGCUUGGACUGUGCCUUACAUUAUAGGACUUCUGGGUCCUACUUCAAGCAUUUUGCGCUGGCCCUUCGGGACCGAGCGUAGUCUGGGUCCCUUGGUGAGGCCUGUUUUCCUGUUUGUGCAAUGAGGUAACAAAGAUACCCGUUCCAGAAGAGACUUAGAGGAGGCUCUCUCCAAACCGUCGCGAUAGUUUCCUUUCGGGUGUGGCGGGGACAGAGUCGGCCGGGACCUCUGGCCCCACAUUGCCUCUCGCUGGACAGCCCCUCCUCCAGCGCAUUCCCUCCACGCUGUCUUCUUCUGAAUCCGAGCAGAGGCAGCGCCCUCUGCAGGGGCAGCACCCAUGGCACAGAGGCUCCUUCCCUGAAAGCUGACUUCUACCCAAGCCGGCCUCCUUUCUCUCCCCUCCUCCUCCUCCACCGUCCUCUCCGCGUGACCAGGGGAAGGCGCAGCACACGGAGUCGGCCCGGCCUGGGGCCCAGCCAAGCUGUCAGCCCAGAUUGGCGGGGGUUGCUGGAGGCCUCGGAGGGGGACAGGAGUGCUCAGGAUUGGAAAGAAGAAAAUGUUCCAGGCAGAAGAGCUGAGCUGCAGCCUCCAGGGGAGUUCAGAACACCUUUCCAGGCCCAGCAGCCAGAGCCACCAUAGGGAUCCCCUACCCAAAGGCUGUCAUGCUGAGACUUUCUCCAGGAGCUGGGGUGGCAGUGCUGAUAUUUUUAUAGCAGCAGAGCAUGCCAGAGUCCAGCAGCUGUUCAGGGUAAGUGUGCACACAGGGCCUUCUACCAGAGUGCUGUCAAUGCCUCAGUAAUGGUCUUCUCAGUGUUGGCUCCACCAAGGAUGCCAGGAUGGAACUGAACCACCAGCUGUGUAAACUGACCCCAACUGCCUGGAAGGAGGAGGUCUGGAGAACAGAAAAUCCAGUGGGGAGAGGAGGUUGGCAGUUUCUAGAGAUAAGGGUUAGGGAGGCUCUGACACCCUCCAUUAUUGCUGUGGGUCCCUCCAAAACUACCUCAAUAAGCAUGCAAUUGUAGACCCAUGCCUAGGAUAUGGCCAUUGCCCCCGUUUUCAAUUAUAGGUCACCCUCUUGCUCCCUGCAUGGAAAUUCAGUUACUGCCCUGUUUGAGCUGAAGGUGGAGAUGUCCAAGUUGGAGACCCCUCUAGCAUCUUCUCACAAACCAGGCUUCCUGGGGGAAGGGAGGACGCUGUAAUGUGGGGUCGGGAAAGGCCAUCCAAUCUCCUUAUGACAUCAUCAGUGAGAGUCCUAUAUAGGGCCCUCCUUGUAACAGCUGCUGCUACUGUCUGGGUACCAACCCACACAUCACAUGCUGAUGAAGUUUGCAUUCAAAUAAUAACAUAGGUGUUAUCUGUGAAAACUUGUCUCUAAUUUGUAGCACAAAACAUUGGAUGUAGGCUGGAUGCUUUCCUUGGCACUUCUCUCCUGGGCCAGGUGUGUCACAUGUCCUUCUUAAGGUAUCUACCAGGACGAAGGGGAGAGGACAUGAGAUUUAGCACAUAUAAAUUUAGAAACUCUUCGAUGCUGUUCCUGAUAACUUGUUCCAGGUCCUGGGGGUGGUAGGGUGGUGAGAGAAGAGGGCAAAUGACUUGUGACUCAUCCAGUCAUUGCUGUGCCCCUUAACAGUCCUGCCUUUUUCUAUUUUAUCCCAAAUAAUUCAAUCUAAUAAUAGGCAGGGGCUGUAGCCAAAAGUAAUCCAUUAACUAUUCACUUUUUUUUUUCUUCCAGAAGAAUCCUUCAAUGAAGAAUGGGAUUUAAAGUACACCAAGAGGAGUCUUCAGCUCAAAAAUACUGCCCCCAAAACACUGUCAUUGCACCCAGAGAGAACCCCAUCCCCAUGUGUGGGAUCAUAGCAAAGCAGAGUAGAGGAAGAUGAGACAGGGACUAGGAACAUAAUGACAGACACUGUCAGGCAGGACCACUUUACCAGGGAGAGUAAGGUUCAAAACUGACAAGGAGCUCAGAUAAGGGCUUCCAAGGCCUUGCUGGACUCCAGGCUGUGCUGAGGCUGACUAGCUUGGGCGGGCAGACUGCUAUGUUUUUUGGGGUUUUUUUGUUUUGUUUUGUUUUGUUUUUUCCCCACAGAAACAAAAGGAUGAAAUCAUUAGCAUCAAUUGGGCACAUUCAGUGUAGAUUACUGACAUGCCAUUGUUAUGAGGAUAAAAGAAUAUAAUUAAUAAACCCCACCCUGCCCGUCUUUUAUGCUUCCACGAAUUCAGUAUUGACAUCUGCAUCUAUCUCAUCCCACAGAUGAGCCAUCCCUUUCAGCUGGCCUGGACAUCGCUAAAAUGAACAGUGCCGAAAAUCACUCCUGGGAUCCGUCAGCCCAUCUUUCUCAGAGGCAGUUUGUCUUCUCGAACAGUUUUCUCCAUCAAAGAGGCUGAAGCAAGAGAGGGUUUCCCAGCAGCCCAGUUCAGGUUCCAUUCUAGGAGGAACAAAGCCUGCGGCCGUGGCAGAGGAGCCCCAAGUUUCCUCCCACCUAGGAUUUUUUCUUCAGGGCCACCCCGCAGGGCAGCCAGUGACCUUUUGGGCAUCAGUCCUUGAUAGGUAUGGAGAUUCCCAUACCACAGCCUUGGAAUCUCACCUGCCUCACCUCUGGCCUUGACAGGCCUUAGAUGGAAUGAGGGCUAAAGGUCACCCUGGAUAUCUCUGAGAGGCCAGGGGAUUUGGGGGCCCACUUUCUUACCAGUUUGACUUCUGCCCUGUGUACCAGUCACCCUCACCUCCACCCCACUGUAAUAUCUAGAAAAAAAAAAAACUGAAACCUUUGCAUGAAAGGAAGCAGGGGAGGUCUCUGAAGUGUGACUGCAAACCUGAAAACACAAAACUAGUCUUGCAUCACCAUCUGGAAGACAAGAGUUUGAGGAGAAACAGAAAGCAACUUUUAACCCCUGAGAGGCUGCACUUACUUAGUCACUGAGAGAACAUCCUGUUGCCUCCUUGCUUCUGAACAGGCCUGCUGGCUGGAGGGCUUGCACUGUCCCUUGGGCCCAGGAGGAAACAGAGGCCCAGAGUAGGAUGGUAUCACUGGGAGGGUUCAUCACCAUUCUUUCCACAAAUGAAGCUGGGUUCCCGUAUGUCACCUCAUCCUUGCAGCUCGCCCAGGAACUGGAAGGCACUGAGGAAACUUUGGAAGUAGAGGAUAGUGACUAUGUAAGAAUCCAUUCAUUCAUUCUUGGAGCAAGUAUUUAAUGAACACCUGUUUUGUGCCAGGCCCCAUGCAAGUCAAUGAAAUCAUUUGGUAGGUAAUCACUUGAAA